rnacentral:rRNA from 1 species
AGAACGAACGUUGGCGGCGUGGAUUAGGCAUGCAAGUCGAAUGAAUCCAAUCUGGGUAACUGGGUGGGGGAAAUGGCGAAAGGGGCAGUAAGGCAUGGGCAACCUACCCCGGGGACGGGGAUAGCUCUUCUAACGAGGAGAUAAUACCUGGCGAUUCAGCGGGAAGGCAUCUUUCUGCUGGGAAACGAGUUUCGCCUCGGGAGGGGCUCAUGUAGUAUUAGCUAGUUGGUAAGGUAACGGCUUACCAAGGCGAAGAUGCUUAGCGGGUGUGAGAGCACGACCCGCGCCACUGGCACUGAGACACUGGCCAGACUCCUACGGGAGGCUGCAGUCGAGGAUCUUCGGCAAUGGGCGCAAGCCUGACCGAGCGACGCCGCGUGUGCGAAGAAGGCCUUCGGGUGUAAGCACUGUCGAGGGAAGAAAGACCGUAAGGUUGAUCGACCCUGGAGGAAGCGACGGGCUAAGUUCGCGCCAGCAGCCGCGGU